AACGCAACUUGCGCUCAUUGGUAUUCCAAUGAGCACGCCUGUUUCAGUAUCAGAAACACCCCACAUCCAAAAAUUUAUUUUUUUUAGAUAGAUUUUUGCUGAUGGAAUUGAGAGUACUUUACGGUUGACAUUUAUUGUUCGCCGUUCUCUUUAAAAAUAUUAGGCCUGAAAUUUUAGUUUUUUAAAUUUGCCUGAACUUUUUUUUUAAUAUAAAGGAAAAGCUCUAGGUUCAAAUGUUUUAAAAAAAAGCUUAUUAUUUAGGGGCCUCCCAUAAAUAAAACCUUCUUAAAUUUGAUCUGAAAUCAGGCGGGAUUACCCGCUGAACUUAA
rnacentral:misc_RNA from 1 species